CCCGGACCGCAGAACAACGUGGAGCAUACCCGGGGAGCCCUCUCCCCGACAAUGCUAUCCAGAACAUAUGAUGCCCAGACACACUUCCCACGCGUCAUGGGGUGCAACCGAUUACGGUAUUUCCCCCUCCCCCCAUGCCCCUCCUGGAGUCCGUCCCAAGCACCGGGCCCCCCGCGGCAUGAGGGAGCAUAUCACCAAUAAACAACGCCUUCACCACUGCUCCCCCAGUAUUUCGCGACAUGCGCAAGUCAAGGAGGCCAUACUAGCGCCCUGCAGCAGUGUCCUGUGCCACCCUAUCCGCCCACCUCCCG